rnacentral:rRNA from 1 species
UGGGGAAUCUUGCACAAUGGGCGAAAGCCUGAUGCAGCAACGCCGCGUGGGGGAUGAAGCUUUUCGGAGUGUAAACCCCUUUCGACCCGGAAGAAAGCCCGCAAGGGCCUGACGGUACGGGUAUAAGAAGCCCCGGCUAACUACGUGCCAGCAGCCGCGGUAAUACGUAGGGGGCCAGCGUUGCUCGGAAUUACUGGGCGUAAAGGGUUUGUAGGCGGUGUAGCAAGUCGAGAGUGAAAUCCCUGGGCUUAACCCAGGGGCUGCUAACGAAACUGCCGUGCUAGAGUGUGAGAGAGGCGAGUGGAAUUACGGGUGUAGCGGUGAAAUGCGUAGAUAUCCGUAGGAACAUCCGAGGCGAAAGCGGCUCGCUGGAUCACAACUGACGCUGAGAGACGAAAGCUAGGGGAGCAAACAGGAUUAGAUACCCUGGUAGUCCUAGCCCUAAACCAUCAGGACUUGGGGUUUGCCCUGUACGGGGCAAGUCCCGUAGCUAACGCGUUAAGU